rnacentral:rRNA from 2 species
GAGUUUGAUCUUGGCUCAGAUUGAACGCUGGCGGCAUGCCUUACACAUGCAAGUCGAACGGUAACGCGGGGCAACCUGGCGACGAGUGGCGAACGGGUGAGUAAUGCAUCGGAACGUGCCCAGUAGUGGGGGAUAGCCCGGCGAAAGCCGGAUUAAUACCGCAUACGACCUACGGGUGAAAGCGGGGGAUCGCAAGACCUCGCGCUAUUGGAGCGGCCGAUGUCAGAUUAGGUAGUUGGUGGGGUAAAGGCCUACCAAGCCUACGAUCUGUAGCUGGUCUGAGAGGACGACCAGCCACACUGGGACUGAGACACGGCCCAGACUCCUACGGGAGGCAGCAGUGGGGAAUUUUGGACAAUGGGCGCAAGCCUGAUCCAGCCAUGCCGCGUGCGGGAAGAAGGCCUUCGGGUUGUAACCGCUUUUGUCUAGGAAGAACGCUCCGAGCUAAUACCUUGGGUAAUGACGGUACCUGAAGAAUAAGCACCGGCUAACUACGUGCCAGCCGCCGCU